GACGAACGCUGGCGGCGUGCUUAACACAUGCAAGUCGAACGGAAAGGCCCUGCUUUUGUGGGGUGCUCGAGUGGCGAACGGGUGAGUAACACGUGAGUAACCUGCCCUUGACUUUGGGAUAACUUCAGGAAACUGGGGCUAAUACCGGAUAGGAGCUCCUGCUGCAUGGUGGGGGUUGGAAAGUUUCGGCGGUUGGGGAUGGACUCGCGGCUUAUCAGCUUGUUGGUGGGGUAGUGGCUUACCAAGGCUUUGACGGGUAGCCGGCCUGCGAGGGUGACCGGCCACAUUGGGACUGAGAUACGGCCCGGACGCCUACGGGAGGCAGCAGUGGAGAAUAUUGCACAAUGGGCGGAAGCCUGAUGCAGCAACGCCGCGUGCGGGAUGACGGCCUUCGGGUUGUAAACCGCUUUCGCCUGUGACGAAGCGUGAGUGACGGUAAUGGGUAAAGAAGCACCGGCUAACUACGUG
rnacentral:rRNA from 1 species